rnacentral:lncRNA from 1 species
CACUAUUAUCACCUAAAAUCUGCUGAGAUCUUAUUACAGUUAUACAAUUAUAUAAUUAGCAGACUUUAACCAAGUCAAAUUUGAUGGUCCCAACCCAGAACAUAUUUAGUGACUGAGAUAUUGUGUAUUUUUUAUUUUCUGACAAACAAAAUUCAAAAAAAGGAAAAUCUUACAGGCAGUGAGAGAAGGACUCGCAGCUUUGGGCCCAACGGCUCAGACUUGAGAGGAGAGUGGGAGGGAAAAAAUGCUUGCUAAGCUAUCCGUUUCACACAUGCAGGGACAGAAGGUUCGAUAUUCAUUCGAUCGAUGAAUGAAAAGGCACAAUGGCAAAAUCGGACAGGCUCCUUUUCAAAUCCACGUCUCCGAUGUCCCCCCGCCACCCCUUCCACAGUCUGCAGUGGCUGAGCGGCCGGUGUGGCAGGCAGAGAGAGAAAGAGAGAGAGGAGAGCAAGGGUUACAUCAAGGCUGCUCCCUGGACCGUGCAAACAAGUCUAGACCAGUGACCUGUUCAAUGGCUCCUUUUGAGGUGUGGGGCAAGUUCGGUCAGAGCGAGGAGAAAGGCACGGCACUGCCUCUUUUCAGCACCCGAGCAGCUCACAGCCCUGCGAUCGACAGGAGAGGCAAACUAAAAGUCAGUCCAGCUGAAAAUCAACCAUUUCCCAGAAAAAGUUGUUUCUGUGACGGAGCCCCACGGCAGUUCACUGUCCUCUCUUUGGGCUCAGAGCAGUGAGAAAGUUAGGGAGGAAGGAUGAUGUGUAAAGGUGGAUGAGGAAACACAAAGGUGGAGAGGGUGAUUUGAAGUGGGGGAGGCGUUUCCAGCCAGGAAGAGAGAAUCAGAGUAGCUUCCCUCACCAUCUCUUUCCACUGCUCAUUAGUAUGUGCCGGCCGUCGCUCAGGUGACACAGCCGCUGGAUUCAGUCCCAACUGCAGAGACAUCAGCGGGAUAGCAGGUAAGGACAAUGAGAGGAAGGGUGGAGAAGCAGGGAAGAGCGUGGGGGGGGGGUACUCUGAUACACAAACACACGAUUAAAGUGCUAAGUUUUAAAGCUAAACCUUGUUCUCCAAAUAUCUCAGUCUUUAACACACUGCAUGCAGUCUAUAAACCACGAGGCCCAAAUACAACACAAUAUUGCUCCAAUGUUAAUUGCAGCUUUUCAAAAAAUGUAGUAAUUUGAGUUUCUACAGGUUGUGUUGUAAAAUAUUGAUCUUAAUAAUAAAAAAUCUCUGCUGGAUUUGUUCGCUGUGUGU